GAUGCCUCAACGCCAGUUGGGGUGGAGUCGUUGUUGAAAUACCACUCUGAUCGUAUUGGACAUCUCAACCUCGGCCCGUGAUCCGGGUUAGGGACAGUGCCUGGUGGGUAGUUUAACUGGGGCGGUUGCCUCCCAAAGAGUAACGGAGGCGCCCAAAGGUUCCCUCAGCCUGGUUGGCAAUCAGGUGUUGAGUGUAAGUGCACAAGGGAGCUUGACUGUGAGACUGACAGGUCGAGCAGGUAGGAAACUAGGGACUAGUGAUCCGGCACCGGCUUGUGGAAGCGGUGUCGCUCAACGGAUAAAAGGUACCCCGGGGAUAACAGGCUGAUCUUCCCCAAGAGUCCAUAUCGACGGGAUGGUUUGGCACCUCGAUGUCGGCUCGUCGCAUCCUGGGGCUGGAGUAGGUCCCAAGGGUUGGGCUGUUCGCCCAUUAAAGCGGCACGCGAGCUGGGUUUAGAACGUCGUGAGACAGUUCGGUCUCUAUCCGCCGCGCGCGUAGAAACUUGAGGAAGGCUGUCCCUAGUACGAGAGGACCGGGAUGGACGUACCUCUGGUGUGCCAGUUGUCCCGCCUGGGGCAUGGCUGGUUGGCUACGUACGGAAGGGAUAACCGCUGAAAGCAUCUAAGCGGGAAGCCUGUUCCAAGAUUAGGUUUCUUUUGAGGUCCCCUAUAGAUGAUGGGGUUGAUAGGCCGGAUCUGGAAGCAUCGUAAGGUGUGGAGGUGACCGGUACUAAUAGACCAAACAUUCAACACACAAAGU
rnacentral:rRNA from 1 species